AUACCAUAGUGGAAAAAAAACUGCCUCUUAUUCCAUCACCGAAGUUAAGCAAUGUUGGGCCUGGUCAAUAUUUGGGAGGAUGACCAUGUGUCUGGUAACAUUGAGUGUCGUACUGU
rnacentral:rRNA from 1 species